AAAAAGGUCUUUCUCAAGACCAACAAAAUAACCAUCAUGACAAAC
rfam:Acyrthosiphon pisum strain LSR1 Contig7849, whole genome shotgun sequence.